GGACAGAGAUGGCGAAGUAGCUGGUGGCAGGCGGCGGCCGCAAUAGGUUUGGAGGCCCUGGCGAGUGGGCUGCAGAAAGUCAACUGGGAUUAAGGAAUAUUCUGCAACGAUGCCUGAAAUUUGCAACUGAGGGACGGGCGGAAAAGUACGCUGGAUGCCGGGCGAGGGACGAGAUACCUGACACGCGCUUGAGCCUAAGACAGCAGUGGGCAGAGAUCGGAGCUCUGCCCUCCCGGGUCCAGCCCAACCCUGGCAGACGACCAACAAUGCGUCGGUCCACCAGGAAAACGAACCGUAUGCCAGAUUACCGGUCCAGCACUGCGGAUGCCAGAUGUGAUAUUGGAAGGGGAACAUUUUCAAGAGACUUUACUGCAGCACAUCUCUCCAGAAUAUCAGUUAUACCCUGGGUCUGCCAUAGGGCCUCCAUUACAUAAACACCUAGGACGACAAUUUACAGUCAAAUCAAGUUUGCAUAGAUGGUCUUUGAUCAGUGGUUGUUGAUCAAUGGUCAGGACAAAUUGCAUAUGAAUGAUCAAUGAACUGACCUCAACACCUAUAUUGUUCAGUGAGCUAGUUUCAGUCAUUGUGCAAAGUAACUGAUAUAAGGUUGGAGAAGCCUGCAGCCAGCGGAGACUGAAAAGGCCACUUGGAUGAGUGAGGGAACGUUUUCUGACACUGAAAAAGCAAAGUCCAGAUGAACAGAAUCAACCAUUUGAGCAGACUGAAAAAUGUGCUCAAAUAACCAGAAAAACCAAAAAAACAAACAAACAAAAAAAAAAAAACCAAAACGCACAGAACUUUUUGAAUCAAUGUCAGUGAAGAGAAGAAAGUAAUCAUGAAGCAUAUGUAACAUGGUGGACUAAUGUGUCUAUAUUAAUUCACCUCCAUAUUAUUAUAUGAAGUUGCACUGGGUUGGGAGUGGUUGUGUGUGUCUGUGUAACGGAGGGGGAAGGUGUUUCUUUGCACAGAUGUUAAAAAAAGAGAAACCCUCCUAAAAACGGACAGAGCAGUGGGGCAGCCAAGGGAAUGCACACAAAUUUAAAAACUGUAAGGAUAAGAUAUUUAUUACAUUUAAACAGGUAAAAAAAAAAAUAAUAAAAUAGAUUAAAACAGCCCUGGCCAGGGGACAACAAUAAAAAUCAAUAAAACACAACGUUAAAAGUCCAGUGGCGUCCGCCACGGUAUACGAGUCACUAAUAACAAAUCCGGUGAAGCAAUACAGGGAGGGAACCCGGCGGCGUCCUCGCCUUCCUCUCCGCGUUCUGCGCCCCGAUGCGCUAAAAA